UUCCUCGCUCUCCCUCUCUCUCUCUCUCUCACACACACACACUCUUAUUUCCUAUCCACUCCUCCUCGCUUCUCUACACGGGGCAGAUUACUAUCACAGCUGUAACUGUGGCAAGGAAGCCGUAAACACAGCAGACCCAGUCUCCAUGGUGGCAGGAGGGGGCACUGGAGGUGACAACAAUGGAGAAGGACCUUCCUUCUGACAAGUUUUAGAUAUUCUGGGCUGAUUGAAUGAUGUCUAGACUCUUCUGUAAUGACUUCAUUUGAGAACAGAAGGCCUUCAGGGAAUACAUUCAGCCAAGCCCCCAAAAAAGACUGCCCUGGGGUGAAACAAAUACCUUUGAGAUUUCACUCAGGAGGGAUGGGUGCUUCACCAGUUUUCUGGAAGAAUUCUACUCUCAGCCACAAAGGAUUGGAUCCCCUAGAGCUACGGAGAUUUGGCAGCAAAAUUUUGCCACAGGUCUGAUUGAGAGAGAGAGAGAGGGAGGGAGGGAGAAGAAAGAGAGUUCCUCAAAAGGAACAUGUAAAUCAUAUAUGAAAUCGACUGAAGAACAUUUUUGACAUCACUUGCCCUAUUUGGUUGCUCCUCUUCUUUAUCAGUGGGUGACGGAUCGCAUCCUGCCAGCUGGCUAAUAUCGUAAUUAACAAAGUUGCAACCACAUCGGAGAAGUUUAAUCGAAAAAUUUGCCGGCAGUAUGAUGGCAUUGUCCCAGAGAUCACAAGCUAGGCAGCAACGACUUUCACUCUGGGAGAAGGGGAGAAGAGGGAGUCUGAACUUAGCCAGUCCAAGCUUCUCAAGAACCCCUUAAGCUUCGUUAAUGAGGUCCGUUGUGGAAUAUCUGGUGCCUUCUGAUGCUGGGAAUAAAAAUCUCGUCCUCUUGAAACUCUGACUGAGAAGUCAACAAACAACAAAUGCAACUCCAUCAUUUAUCGUGUGUUUGUGUUGCUGUUGGCCUUCACAUGAUCCUAUAAGAGAGUUUCAAGCCUGAAUCGCCAAUCUCCAAAGGUCUAGUUGUGAUUGGAGCUGGGCUUGCUUUGCAGAUCUGUGCACUCAGACCAAGAGGGCAGAAAAUUGGGGAAUUUACUCCUAAGAAUGAUUUUUCUGUGUGGAAAACAAAAAUGUGAAACAGGGAAGACAUCACCAAAAGAUGUUCAUCUGGAGAAACUCAUUGAGACUCUGCCAUUGUUUGCAAUACACACACACAUUUACUUUACCAUAGCUCCAUUUUAGUUUCUUAAAUUAUUCAUGGCUUUAUUUUUUAAAGUAUAUUUCAGCAUAUACAAAGAGAAAUGGGAAUAUUUCUGUGAAAAAAUACCUACAAUAUUUUACCUCCAACAAUUCUAUCAAACUUUAUGAUAGUCACAACCUAGAAAUCCACAGCUUUGUUUUUUCGAAAGGAUGAACGUGGAGAGCAGGUACUCUGAUGAGCAAAGGUAAGCUAUUUCUGUAUUAUGCAAAGUCAGACAUUCCCAUCAUUCCACAGUGUAUCUUGGUAUUUACAUACCAGAUGGGAGAAUUUGGAAGUUUCUGGGACCACAAUUAAGUAUAUUGUUUCAUUAACUCAAUGAAUGGCACGAUCUGAUUUAUACUUUGAUGAUGAAUGUACAAUUUAAUCAUUUCGAUUUGGGAUAGGAAGGCAAUAUUGCUAACUGGGAAGAGAUUUCAUGAUCUUUUCCCCACCUCCAUAGGGAUGUCACUUCUUGGUAGCAAACUGGAAACUUAGAUGGACAAGUUAACUUUUUUUAAUCACAAGGCAACAUCAUUAUCAUUGGCUUUAUCAUACUAUAAUGCCCUUGGUUCUUUUAUAAAAAGGAUGUGGUCACGUAGGUAAUAUAUUCCCCCCAGUUCUAUAGAGCAUUUGAGUCACUUUCGAUAGUAGCAUUUUGAGACAACUAUUAUUUGCUAUAAACUGACCAUUUUCUAGAUACAGGAGAGUAGGGAAGAGAGCAAAUAGUCUUCUAGCUAGGGGAAAACAAGAGCAGAGACUUAAACAGUAAGUACUGCUCUCUCUCUAGCCUUGCCUUAUCUUUUUUCUAAGACUUUUUUUUUUUUUUUUUUAAAUGAUGUGUGAUUAAAGAGUUCAAGUGAGACAGUGAUCAGGAAUUGCAUCUAAAAUACAACGCCUUGAGGGCAAGAGAGCAUCUGUUAUUUUUCCUUGAAUUUCCCUAGUGCCUAGAACUAUACAUUGCACUAAGCUGGUGCUUCAUGAAUGAAUGUGGAAUUAAUGCAAUAAAAUGAAUGAAUGAAUAAAAAUGCUAUUUUAUAUAAUAUUUUGAAAUUUUAAUAAGGGGAAACAUAAUAUAUGUAUGUAUGUUUAUAAAAUGAUGUCUUGUGUCACUAGCCAUAGUUUCAAAAUCAAUGUACAGAAACAAAAAUAGCAAAUAUUGAUUUACACGUGUUUAAAGUGGAGAGGAAAUCAGUAAAAUUGAUAGACAGUUCCUACUUAAUGACAGAACAAUAAAUCUGUACAGAGUUCUAUUAAACUCCCUUCUCUCCAUAAAGAGAAGUCUUUAGAGAAAACUGGGUUGGGUUUUUUUUUUUUUUUUUUAUGCUAGAAAAGCAGCUAAUAGGCUCCAUAGAUUUUGCACGUUAUAGCCAAAAUGUUAUUCUUGUAGGUCAUCUUCAUUCAAAUUACUUAGAAUCAUAGAAUGUCAAAGGUGGAUGAGAUUCUUAGUUUAGCUUUCUCAUUUUAUAGAUAAGGAAAUUGCAAUCUAGAAAGGCAUUGUCCAAAGCUCAAUGGCAGAAGUGAGGCUUGUCCCCAAUUCCCAUAACUCUCAAUUUAAAUACAUGUCUUUUUUAUAUCAUAUCACACUUGCUUGUGGAAAAUAGCAUAGUUUAUUCAAAUGAAUGCUAGCUUAGGCUAGAUUCAAAUUCUACCUUUUGCAUUUAUAAGCUGUGUGUUCUUGAUUAAGUAACCUUAACCUCUCUCAGACUCAAUUUCCUUUUCUGUCAAAUGAGGAUAAUAAUGUUUGUAACAACUGCCUCUUUGGGUUAUUGUGUGAAUCAAAAGAAAUCAAAUGUUCAGAUAGUUUCACAAACCCAUAAAAUACCUUAAGAUGCCAUCUGUUGUCAAAGUGGAGUUUUCUUUGUUUCUUCUUCCUUCAUAGAUUCUUCUGAGGGACUGUUUUUACUUAUUUUUAAAAGCUUCUUGUGAACCAAACACUAAAUACUAAAAUAAACUGUCUUGAUUGUUAUGGCAGCUUCAUAAUGGAGCUUUCCCUUCAGCAGAGCUAAAUACAAAUAGUUAAGGGUCUUGAGUGUUGAUUCCAGGUAAGUUAUCCUUUUUGUAUCACUGUGUUACCUGAGGGGACUCCUGAAAUGAUACCAGCAACCUAAGAGAGAUUGUUGUUUGCUAGGCUGAUGAGAGGACAGAGACUGGCUCUUAUCUUUGAAAUCAGUGUGAGAACUUCCAAAAUUGCCUUAACCCCUGUUUAAUACAUUCAUAGAUCUUAUUAGGAAUUUAGUAAAGCAAGUCCCCUCUAACAGAUACAUUGUGUUAUAUGUCAUGGAUUGAGUUGCAAGUAGGAUUUUCAAUACAGUGUAACAAGAUUAAUGUUCUCUCUCUCCAUCUUUCCUAUCCUUAAUUUUCCCCUUCUUUCUCUGAAUAUGGUUCUGGCCCUGGUAUGGUCCAUCUCUCUCCCACCUCCCCCCCCACAGAGAACUUCCCAUGCUUCCUUUAGCAUCCACCACCCAUUGAAAGAUUCUCAACAAUACAAAUAGGAAUAAAUCUAUCUAUUCUGAAGAUAUCCAUUCUACUGAGGAAAGCCAGGAGGGAGUAUUCUCUUUUUCUUUGGAUUUACUCAGGGUGAACCUGCCUAUACCUGGGUAAUAGCCUGCUAAUCUUGACUUACUGUUACUACUGAAGUAGUAUUUAUUCUCUCCCAAUUGGAACUCUACCAAACAUCCUGUAGGGUUUUUGUCCCCCGUCUUCAACAACAGAAUCUCCAUCUGCUUUAGUGGACCUGGAGCAAAGCACUGUGGACUUUUUUGAGAAUUAGAGAAAGAAAAAAAAAAUAAUUCCUUAUCAAAGUUAAACAAGGAGAAUUUCCAGGCUUGAAAUUAACUUUAAUGUUCUCAGAGACUCAAUCUUUUAUUCAAAGUCUAUGUUGAGGAGAAAAAAGUUUUAUCUGCUCUAUCCUCACAAUCAGGGUUAUCAGAACACUACUUUUCUUAUCCCAUUCCUAGUUUAAUUGCUCCAUAAAGUUAUGGUGGCACAGGUGAAGCUAGGCAACACUGAACAGCAUGAAGCGCUAAUUGCACUAAAUUUGGAAAUCUUCAGGUUCCAUUUAUCUUUAACAACUUUCUGGCCAAGCAGACACCAUAAGAUCAACUCAUUAUGACAGUACACUCAGUUUUUAAAUUGAAUUUAAAUUAAAUCAAUUAUAUUUUGAUUAACAAUUAAACCCAGAUUUCUUAUUUUUUGAUGUCAAAACAAAAUUUCUUUCACUAUUUAUCAGAAGGCCUCUUCAUUUAUUGUGCUAUUUUGGAAGUUGUCACUAGAGUCCAUGAAAUCUUAAUCAUGAGCCCUCUAAUUUCCUAAUGGGGUGGAGGGAAUACAUUGAUUUAUUGAUCUGUGUUUAAAAAAACAAAACAAAACCUAGAAGAUCAAUCUGACAUUUUAGGUUAAUUUUAGGAAACAAAGAAAGUCAUAAUUAAAUGAGAUAAGGAUUUUAGUUGUUCAUUCCAGUUUAUAAUAAAAAACAGCCCCUUACCCAAAGUGUCUUAGAAAAUAAUGCAUUCAGACUGAGCAGAAUUACUGCCUAGCAGAUUCUAUUUAUCUGUAGCUUAAAAAGCAGCUGCGUUUUUGUAAAAAGCAAUGAAUGUGGCAUUCCUACUUAAAGGUGGAAGGAAAAAAACACUCCUUGUUUUGUAAUAAGGGGAUUUUCAAUUUAAAAGAGAGAGCAGGCCUGUUGUGUGAAGUAUGGUUAUUACAUUCACUGUAUUCUAUCUCACCCACCAGGAGGCUAAUAAUGAGGAGUGAGGGAAGGGGGCCACGGCCACGAGGGUUAUCUCACAGUCCCAGAUGCUGGAUAAGUUGGAGGAGGCAGAAUCACUUUUGGAUGACAUUCAGAAAGGCCUGAAUGCUUAUUGGGAGAAGAAAAGACUAUUCUUUACAAGGUGUGGGGCAUCUCUUCCCUUGCCUGAACGGUGAUGAUCAGUCUGCCAGCAUCUCAUGAGACAAAGGAUUCGCUCCUGAGCCCCGCCACACCUUAAAAAAUGCUUUGAAGGGCUUGCCAAGCUCACUUUUAAUCAUGGGAAAGAAAUUACCCACAUGGAGUCAGCAGAAAAUGAAAAAGUGGGCCUCGUGCUGAGAUAAUUCCAGCAAGUGCCAAGGGGCUAGUUGAGAUAUGGCUUCAUGAGGUGAAUAUCUUUAGCUCUUACUUAGGGUUUAGUUACUGUAUAAUCAUUCUCUCUUUUAGGAGCAAUGAAUAUCCCAAGUGUGUUUCCUAACCAAAGCUGUCUUUCUCCAAGCGUUUGUCGGGAUAUUGAUGGAUUCCAUAGGAAAUGAGGGUUCUGGGUCCUGCUUGUUAUUUCCUUCUACUCAGGACAAGUUUGCAACUCUGCAGAAAUUUCAUUCAGUGACAAGACCAAGCCAGUGACUGCCGCUAGCUGUGUGUAUCUGUGCAUCUCUCUGUUUGAGUAUCUGUCUAGUACUUUAUGUCUCUGUGUAUAUCUGUAUCUUUGUUCUUGUCCUUGGCCCCUCCGUAGGAGACUAUCUGGGGAGGAUUGAAGAGCAGGUGGUUUUCAGAUGUAACCUUGGGAGGAGCAAUGGUUGGGGAAGGGCCAAAGGUGGGACUUGAUUGGGGGUGGAGGGAAGGAGAAAAGGUGUCACCUUGAUAAUUAAUGAUCAAUCUUAAUUUCCAAUCCGUUUUAAAAGGGGGGGGAUAUCCCCUGAGGACACUAACCUAACCCCAUCUUCCCUUUGGGGUACCACAAUUCCAAUUAAACAUCAGUUUCAGUGUGAAA